rnacentral:rRNA from 1 species
GAUGAACGCUAGCUACAGGCCUAACACAUGCAAGUCGAGGGGUAACGAGAGGAAAGCUUGCUUUCCUUGUCGACGACCGGCGCACGGGUGAGUAACGCGUAUCCAACCUGCCCCCAACUAGGGAAUAACCUUGCGAAAGUAAGACUAAUACCCUAUAAUUUCCUCAGAUGACAUCUGACGAGGAAUAAAGAUUUAUCGGUUGGGAAUGGGGAUGCGUCUGAUUAGCUGGUGGGCUAGGUAACGGCCCACCAAGGCAACGAUCAGUAGGGGUUCGGGGAAGAAGGUACACCACAUGUGAACUGCGACACGGACCAAACCCCUACGGGAGUCAGCAGUGAGGAGUAUUGGGAAAUGGGCGGAAGCCUGAACCAGCCGAGUAUCGUGCAGGAUGACAGGCCUAUGGGUUGUAAACUGCUUUUAUACAGGAAUAAAGUUAGCCACGUGUGGUUAUUUGUAGGUACUGUAUGAGUAAGGACCGGCUAAUUCCGUGCCAGCCGCCGCGGUAA